AUGCGGUCUCUGUUGGAUAGCAGCUGGACCAAGUUUGGCCCGGCCGGCCGGGACUCUCUGGACUGGUCGCCCGGACCCUCGGCUCUGCCCUCCACCGACAGACAGGCCCCGGGCCAGAGCUCAGGUGAAGCCUUCAUGAGUGCAGGAUCCAUCACCUACAUUGCCAUAGCAACUGUCUCCUUCCUGGUCCUCUUCUUCAGCGUCCUCGGCUUCCUGAUCAGGCGCCGCAGACACGUCUUCAGCUUCAACGGCAAACUGGGAUUUGCCAACGUGAUCGCCCUGGAGGACCUGCAGGACCCAGAGAGGAACUGCGAGCUGCUGUCCUCCAUUCGCCGCAGUCGGGGGCAGAGCCAGCUCCCCAGCGCCAGCUCCGAGCAGGACGUGACGGACGGCGUGUUCCUCAUGGUCUACCUGCCCUCGCCGUACGAACAUACGCUCACCAGAAUCGCCAGAGCUGCAAGUACAAGCAGCUCCAAAGACUUGGAGCUGCUGCCGCCGAGUCCUGGGCCAGAGACGGGCGGCAGACAUGAAGACGGGAUGAGGCCGGACGACUAGGCGACCGCAGAGGAACCUGAAGGCAGAACACAGAGCUGCGGGGAGGACGGGGUUUUUGUAGGCCAACGCGUAAAUUAGCAUCACCCUGGUUCCCUCGACAAAAAGCCAAUGGGAUUAUUUCAUUGGAUUUGGGAUUACUGCAGAAAAUAAGCUCUCUGGCGGACCAAAGUUUAUGAUACUUACAUGUUUUAAUAAAUUAAAGUGUAAAUGUAAUCACCGCAAGUAAAAAAGCUAAAGUUAAGCUAUAAACAAACUAACAGCGCGGUCACAUGACUCCACAUCACCCCCCCUCGUACAGAAGGACAGUCAGGACCCCCGUGUGCCCCCGUGCCAUCCUGCAGCACGUGCAGCAACACAAUGACUGAAGAAGCUACAGAAUAUUAACGUACCUUUUACAUCAUCGCUUAAACAUAACCUGGCAAGGCAUUUGCUUUUUCGUUUGCACCUAGGAUUGUAAAAAAUGUACAUCUGGAUUGAAAUCAUUCUAUUUUCUACAACUCUUUGAUCUGUAACACAGCUGUAGCAUCCUUUUAGAGAUGUGUUUUGUAAUAUUUGUACUUAUUUUUGCCGUUUGAUAUUCACAGUACAUUCAUUGUCACGGUUUGACCUCUGGAUACAAUGACUGACAAUAAAGUGGAGGAUUCAGAAAUUCUACUUCUAUUUU
rnacentral:lncRNA from 1 species